rnacentral:rRNA from 1 species
UACGUAGGGUGCAAGCGUUGUCCGGAAUUAUUGGGCGUAAAGGGCUCGUAGGCGGUCUGUCGCGUCGGGAGUGAAAACUCAGGGCUUAACCCUGAGCCUGCUUCCGAUACGGGCAGACUAGAGGUAUGCAGGGGAGAAUGGAAUUCCUGGUGUAGCGGUGAAAUGCGCAGAUAUCAGGAGGAACACCAGUGGCGAAGGCGGUUCUCUGGGCAUUACCUGACGCUGAGGAGCGAAAGUGUGGGGAGCGAACAGG